AGAGUUUGAUCAUGGCUCAGAUUGAACGCUGGCGGCAGGCCUAACACAUGCAAGUCGAACGGUAACAGGAAGAAGCUUGCUUCUUUGCUGACGAGUGGCGGACGGGUGAGUAAUGACUGGGAAACUGCCUGAUGGAGGGGGAUAACUACUGGAAACGGUAGCUAAUACCGCAUAACGUCGCAAGACCAAAGAGGGGGACCUUCGGGCCUCUUGCCAUCGGAUGUGCCCAGAUGGGAUUAGCUAGUAGGUGGGGUAACGGCUCACCUAGGCGACGAUCCCUAGCUGGUCUGAGAGGAUGACCAGCCACACUGGAACUGAGACACGGUCCAGACUCCUACGGGAGGCAGCAGUGGGGAAUAUUGCACAAUGGGCGCAAGCCUGAUGCAGCCAUGCCGCGUGUAUGAAGAAGGCCUUCGGGUUGUAAAGUACUUUCAGCGGGGAGGAAGGGAGUAAAGUUAAUACCUUUGCUCAUUGACGUUACCCGCAGAAGAAGCACCGGCUAACUCCGUGCCAGCAGCCGCGGUAAUACGGAGGGUGCAAGCGUAAAUCGGAAUUACUGGGCGUAAAGCGCACGCAGGCGGUUUGUUAAGUCAGAUGUGAAAUCCCCGGGCUCAACCUGGGAACUGCAUCUGAUACUGGCAAGCUUGAGUCUCGUAGAGGGGGGUAGAAUUCCAGGUGUAGCGGUGAAAUGCGUAGAGAUCUGGAGGAAUACCGGUGGCGAAGGCGGCCCCCUGGACGAAGACUGACGCUCAGGUGCGAAAGCGUGGGGAGCAAACAGGAUUAGAUACCCUGGUAGUCCACGCCGUAAACGAUGUCGACUUGGAGGUUGUGCCCUUGAGGCGUGGCUUCCGGAGCUAACGCGUUAAGUCGACCGCCUGGGGAGUACGGCCGCAAGGUUAAAACUCAAAUGAAUUGACGGGGGCCCGCACAAGCGGUGGAGCAUGUGGUUUAAUUCGAUGCAACGCGAAGAACCUUACCUGGUCUUGACAUCCACGGAAGUUUUCAGAGAUGAGAAUGUGCCUUCGGGAACCGUGAGACAGGUGCUGCAUGGCUGUCGUCAGCUCGUGUUGUGAAAUGUUGGGUUAAGUCCCGCAACGAGCGCAACCCUUAUCCUUUGUUGCCAGCGGUCCGGCCGGGAACUCAAAGGAGACUGCCAGUGAUAAACUGGAGGAAGGUGGGGAUGACGUCAAGUCAUCAUGGCCCUUACGACCAGGGCUACACACGUGCUACAAUGGCGCAUACAAAGAGAAGCGACCUCGCGAGAGCAAGCGGACCUCAUAAAGUGCGUCGUAGUCCGGAUUGGAGUCUGCAACUCGACUCCAUGAAGUCGGAAUCGCUAGUAAUCGUGGAUCAGAAUGCCACGGUGAAUACGUUCCCGGGCCUUGUACACACCGCCCGUCACACCAUGGGAGUGAGUUGCAAAAGAAGUAGGUAGCUUAACCUUCGGGAGGGCGCUUACCACUUUGUGAUUCAUGACUGGGGUGAAGUCGUAACAAGGUAACCGUAGGGGAACCUGCGGUUGGAUCACCU
rnacentral:rRNA from 1 species